GGUUAAGUGACUAAGCGUACACGGUGGAUGCCUUGGCAGUCAGAGGCGAUGAAGGACGUAUUAACUUGCGAUAAGCCCAGAUUAGACAGUAAAAGUCAUUUGAGUCUGGGAUUUCCGAAUGGGGAAACCCACCUGCAUAAGCAGGUAUCAUUACCUGAAUACAUAGGGUAAUGAGGCGAACCGGGGGAACUGAAACAUCUAAGUACCCCGAGGAAAAGAAAUCAACCGAGAUUCCGAAAGUAGCGGCGAGCGAAAUUGGAUUAGCCCUUAAGCCUAUAAUGCGUCAGGUGAAAGUUCUGGAAAGUUCUGCGAUACAGGGUGAUAGCCCCGUAACCGACAGCGCAUUUUAGGUGAAAUCGAGUAGGGCGGGACACGUGAUAUCCUGUCUGAAUAUGGGGGGACCAUCCUCCAAGGCUAAAUACUACUGACUGACCGAUAGUGAACCAGUACCGUGAGGGAAAGGCGAAAAGAACCCCUGUGAGGGGAGUGAAAUAGAACCUGAAACCGUGUACGUACAAGCAGUAGGAGCACCUUCGUGGUGUGACUGCGUACCUUUUGUAUAAUGGGUCAGCGACUUAUAUUCAGUAGCAAGGUUAACCAUCUAGGGGAGCCGUAGAGAAAUCGAGUCUUAACUGGGCGUCGAGUUGCUGGAUAUAGACCCGAAACCAGGUGAUCUAGCCAUGGGCAGGUUGAAAGGUUGAGUAACAUCAACUGGAGGA
rnacentral:rRNA from 1 species